GUCUAAUUAAGUUGUCCUGCGGCGAAGAUGUAACGGGGCUCAAGCCAUGAGCCGAAGCUUAGGACUGCGUAUGCAGUGGUAGCGGAGCGUAGUGUGACUUAGACUCCGUCUUAUUCUGGUCUUUUACACGAUCCCGAUCGGGGAUUUGAGUGUUCGCACUCAAGUAGCCGAUAGGCGGUAGUGCAUAAAAGAGAUCAGAAUAGACAGAGUCUAUUCUGUGAAGCCGGGCUGUAAGGCAUCCGGUGGAGAGAUCACUAGCGAGAAUGAUGACAUGAGUAGCGACAAAGAGGGUGAGAGACCCUCUCGCCGAAAGUCCAAGGGUUCCUGCUUAAAGCUAAUCUGAGCAGGGUAAGCCGACCCCUAAGGCGAGGCCGAAAGGCGUAGUCGAUGGGAACCAGGUUAAUAUUCCUGGGCCAUGUGGUGGUGACGGAUCGCAAGUGUAGUUCAGCCUUAUCGGAUUGGUUGGGCUGCUGAGCGGUUCCUGGAAAUAGCCCCACUAUUAGAUCGUACCC
rnacentral:rRNA from 1 species